rnacentral:rRNA from 1 species
GUGAACGCUGGCGGUAGGCCUAACACAUGCAAGUCGAACGGCAGCACCGUAAGAGCUUGCUCUUACGGGUGGCGAGUGGCGGACGGGUGAGGAAUACAUCGGAAUCUAUUUUUUCGUGGGGGAUAACGUAGGGAAACUUACGCUAAUACCGCAUACGACCUACGGGUGAAAGCAGGGGAUCUUCGGACCUUGCGCGAUUGAAUGAGCCGAUGUCGGAUUAGCUAGUUGGCGGGGUAAAGGCCCACCAAGGCCACGAUCCGUAGCUGGUCUGAGAGGAUGAUCAGCCACACUGGAACUGAGACACGGUCCAGACUCCUACGGGAGGCAGCAGUGGGGAAUAUUGGACAAUGGGCGCAAGCCUGAUCCAGCCAUACCGCGUGGGUGAAGAAGGCCUUCGGGUUGUAAAGCCCUUUUGUUGGGAAAGAAAAGCAGCAGGUUAAUACCCCGCUGUUCUGACGGUACCCAAAGAAUAAGCACCGGCUAACUUCGUG